ACUCAUAAGCAUAGCACCUUUAUAUUCAACAAGAAUAUAAGGUUAUAAAAAAGAAAGAUACUUGAAAAAGUCCCUCGCAUUUAUAUUUCAAAGUCACUGGUGGCUAUGAUGAGACCUUCAUGAUGGUGAUGCUGAUGCUGAUGCUGAUGGUGAUGCCAAUCAUGAUCAAAAGCUAUAAUCUUUUAGCUCUUCUACUAAUCAGCUCAAUCUGGUCCAGGUGCAGUUUAUAUCAAAGGCUGUUGUCACGUUGUGUUUGAGCCAUAGAAGAAACAGGAUUGAAAGGACGAUCUGUGGGAGAAGUGAAUGGGAUUCAUUCAAAUUGUCUGGAGUGGUCCACUUUAAAUAUUAAAUACAGAAUCUCUAGUCUAAAUAACUUGAUAUGUUCCAUGGAUGAAAUAAUGUCAUGUGGGUCAUGACAUGGUAAAUAUUCUAACAGUUUUUGUACAAGAAUACUUGUCCUUGAAUGAAGCUAUCUUGUUAUGCCCCACAA